rnacentral:lncRNA from 1 species
CGAUUCCUUUUCAUUUUCAUUUGUUCUUUGCUUCUUUCUGUCUCUCCGUACAACAAUGGUAAGUUGUAUUUUACUUUAUAUUUUUAUUCUUUUUUUUAAAUCAAUCCAAUGUAUUGAUCUCUCUAUUUUUUUUUAAGAUUUUGACUUCAAUUUAAAGAAUUACAAUUUGAUCUUCAUCUCUGUGAGUUUGCUUGGAGUUUGUUUUCUUUUGACAGAUAAUCUUUU